GUGGUGGCUCAGUGGUAAAGCACUUGCCUAGCAUGUGUGAGGCACUGGGUUCAAUCCUCAGCACCACA
rnacentral:tRNA from 1 species